AAUCAAAUUUAGCCCUUUAUAGAAUUUAAUACAGUUCUCAAUUCUUCGUCCCUUGAGUACGAUGUAACCAUUGAGUUGGAACUAUUAAUUGAUUCAUUGAGGGAAUGAACUUGAAAUGGCAAUUUAUAUAAAUUUGGGAAAAUGCAACUAUUAAAAAGAAUACCUAUUGAUGUGGGCCUAAAUAUCUCCACCCUAAGGCCCAAAGAAGCCACAAUGACCAAUCAAGCCAGCCCAGAUGGUUCAUGGGCCCAAGCCUAGGAAGUAGGCUCAAGCCUUGGUACUCAAACGAGAUAAAGGGCAAAACCUUACUAUGCAAAGCCCACUUUCUCCAGCCCCAUUUGCAAAAGGCUCAUCAUUGUUGGCCAAAUGACACGUGUCCUAAAUCCCCAAGGGCACGUGUCCCCUAGCUAGGGUUGAGCGAUCAAUUCCCAAGAAAUCCUAGCCCUACAAAAGGCUCAGAUCCCAAGGUUGCCAGAGGUUCGUGCCAGCUCAUACUUGAUACCUCCGAGGAACGCGUGACACGUCAUCACCGUAAAAGAUCCCACAACACCUAUGUUUUCGACAAUUUGGGCCUUUAAACCUUCAUUGAUUUGUCCACUAGCUUCUAUAUCAGGUUUAACUUCAUAGUUUAGUACUUUUUAGGAAAAUUUGCAACUUACUGAGGUGGUUAUAUGAUCAUCUAUGUAUUUUUCUUGAUUUGCUGAAAUGGGUUCAUGAUCAAUUGAUGAUAGGGUAUAUGAUGAAAAAGAAUGGUUUACUAUUUAAGUUCUGAACCCAUACUCUGUAAUCAAUAAUGGAAGACCUACCUAUACUUUAU